rnacentral:lncRNA from 1 species
AUGAUCUCUAGAUCAAGUGGUGGGGGGCUAUAUUUAGGUUGCCAACAAUUUAAAAGAUUUAACUUAUUCUGUUCUUUGAUAUCGGUUGACGGGAACCAGGAUAAUUGACAACAAUCUUAGUGGGUCCAUACCUAAUUUCAUAGAGAAUUGGAGACAACUCAAUAAACUAGAACUAAUUGGGAUGGGGCUUUCGGGACUGAUUCCUUCAUCCAUUUCUUUCUGAACUUAACUGACGUGUGAGUGUAAAUAACGUUAACUUCAUACGAACCUUUUUCAUUCUUUCUCUUUUUUAUCUUUUUUUUCUAUUUCGUGUAAUGGGAAAUUACUAUUACUAUGUAGGAGAAUUUGUGAACUAAGUGGACCAACUCAGAGAUUCCCUCCGUUAGAUAAUGCUG